CGGGGUGUAGUAUACCGGCAGUACGCGUGCAUGGGGUGCAUGCAGACGGGGUUCGACUCCCCGCACCCCGA
rnacentral:tRNA from 1 species